AUGUACUGCCCUCCUCGUCGAUCAUGGAUCCCCCGCAAUCGUGUGAACGGUGCACUUUUUGUAUCUCUCAUCUCCUGACAUCCUAUUAUCCCCUUUUAAUCUAGCCUUUCACCAUUAUCAAUCAUAUUUGCCAAACAACCAAACCUAAAGCCUUAAGUCCGAUAAAGCCGAAUUUACCUUUUGGAACUAUUAUAUGUAUUUUCAGUUGGUUGUUAUUUUCUCAUAUAUUGAAGGUUUACCAUCAUCUUAGUAUUACUUCAAUUCGAUUUUAAUUUUUGUUUUGCUAAAAUUUUUGCUUUCUUGUUUAAAGUUCAUCGGAAUUGAUAAAUUGAACCUAGUUUUACCUUUAAACAAAAGUAAACUUGAAAAUUCAAUUUUGGCAACCUCUCGGUUUGUAUCAAUUGGUAUCAGAGAAAGUUCUUUUCGUGGGAGCGUUUGUUUUGAUCAAAACAACUUUUUCUUGGUAUUCAACUUUGGGCCAAAAUAUUUCAAAAAAAAAAAAGCAUCACUUUUUGAUCAACUUAUAAGCAUUUGGUAUGGCAGACAGUCGUGAAAAUCCUCGUGAUUGGAGAGAAGCAUAUGAGAAACAACAAGAUUCCAUGAAAAGCAUGCAAAAUCAAAUGAAUAACAUUCAACAACUAUUGGAAAGAUUAACUAUGCAACAACAAACUGCAGUUGGAGAAGAUUCGGAAAGUGACCCUGUUUUUGACAAUCGUACUUUACCUGCUAGAAGAAAUCCUCUUUUUCAAACUCAAGGAAAUAUACAUCGAUGGAAUCAGGGCAUUAAAAUGAACGUGAGUGAGUUCGAGGGUAAAUUACAACCUGAAGAUUUUGUGGAUUGGCUAGACAAAAUAGAACAAUUUUUUGAAUGGAAAGAAUUACCUGAUGACAAAAAAGUUAAAUUUGUCUCCCUUAAAUUGAAAGGACAUGCCUUAGUGUGGUGGAAACAAGUUCAAAACGAUAGGAUUAGAAAGGGUAAGGAAAAGAUUGCCUCGUGGGAAAGAAUGAAAGAAAAACUUAAAGAAAAAUUCUUACCGAUUGAUUAUCGUCAAACUAUUUUUCAAAAAAUUACACAAUCUUAAACAAGGGUCUAAAUCGGCACAAGAAUAUACUGAAGAAUUUUACACCCUUCAAGCUCGUAAUGAACUUAAAGAGGACGAAGAACAGCUAAUAGCUCGCUAUCUAGCCGGUCUUCGAACUAAAAUCCAAGAUGAGUUAGCCCUUUUAACUUUCUAUAUGGUCGACAUGGCUUACAGUCAUGCACUUAAGGCUGANGAAAAUAAACUUAAAAGACAAACCUUUCGUCAGGGAAGUGCGAGCGUAAAGAACACCAUAGGAACUAAGCCUAUCUUAAAGAACGAUAGUCAAAUCUCUUCAAGACUUGUUCAAGACCUUAAGGGCAAAGGAAUUUUAGGUGCAAAACCCGUUGAAUCUGGCAUCAUUUGUUAUAAAUGUAACAAACCUGGACAUAAAUCCUCUGAUUGCCCUCUGAGAAAAUUUGAUUCUAGAGCCAAUCUAAUAGAAAGUCAUGAAGAGAAUGAAAAUGGGGAAGAAACUUUAGAACAAGAAGAUGUUGAUGAGAUUUCCGAAGAAUCUCCUGAUGCUACUGAAACAAAUCUCAUGAUCCAUCGAGUCCUAUCAGCCUCUAAGUCCACCCAAGAUGAUUGGAAGCGUCGUAGCCUUUUCAGAACCAUUUGUAGCGCGGGAGGCAAGUUUUGCUCUCUGGUCAUUGAUAGUGGAAGUACUGAAAACUUUGUCUCUAGGGAAAUUGUUGAUAAGCUUAAACUGAAAACUGAAAAACUUGCUCAAAUUUACAAAAUAGCUUGGUUUAAGUAUAGGGAUGAAUUUUUUGUAACUAAAAGAUAUCUUGUUGAAUUUUCUAUUGGGAAAACUUAUGCUGAUAAAGUUUGGUGUGAUGUUGUUCCCAUGGAUGUGAGUCACCUAUUGUUAGGUAGACCUUGGCAAUUUAAUCGUAGCACUAUAUAUGAUGGUAGGAAGAACACUUACAUUGUCACAAAGGACAACAAGAAAGUUAGAUUGGUUCUCCUAAAUUACUUUUCCAAACCAAAGUCUAAGCCGAUUGAGUCCCAAAAGCAACCCUCCAAUAAUGAGCAGAAAAUGAUAGUUUUGAACAAAAGUCAAUUCUCUAAAGAUCUAGCAAAGUCUCCAGUGGUAUAUAUUCUUUCGGCAAAAGAAAAAUCGAAAAACACUGAAGUUCCUCGAGCUGUUCAACGAUUGCUUAAUGAAUUUUCUGAUAUCAUGCCUGAGGAACUCCCUGAUGGCCUUCCACCUAUGAGAGACAUCCAACACUGCAUUGCUAAUCGAGUCGCUAAUGCACUCAGUCGUCGAAACCAUUUGCUUAUCACUUCUUCCUUACAGAUAGUAGGAUUUGAGAUAGUUAAGGACCGAUAUCAAAAUGACCCUAACUUCGGUCCUAUCCUAAAAAAGUGCCUAUCUCCUGACAAUGAUUCACCUUCUGAUUACUGUUUGGACGGCGGGUAUCUUUUUAGAAAGUCCAAGUUGUGCAUUCCCCAGGGAUCGUUAAGAGAGUCCUUGAUUCAGAACUUGCAUAGUAGCGAGCUAAGGGGACAUUUCGGGAAAGACAACUUUGGGAUUAGUUCAAAAGAGGUAUUAUUGGCCUAACAUGAGUAAGGACGCUGAAAGGUUUGUUCAGCGGUGUAAGACUUGUCAAUCAUUUAAAGGACAAACUCAAAAUACUGACUUGUAUACUCCUUUGCCCAUUCCCACUGUGCCCUGGGAGGAUAUUAGCAUGGACUUUGUCCUAAGCCUACCCAAGACUGUACGCCAAGUUGAUUCAGUUUUUGUUGUUGUUGAUCGUUUUACGAAAAUGACUCAUUCCUUGCAAGAAAACUUCUGAUGCAUCAUAUAUUGCAAAAUUAUUUUUCAAUGAAAUUGUACGUUUACAUGGCAUUCCUAAAUCAAUUACCUCUGAUCGAGAUACAAAAUUUGUUAGUCAUUUUUGGAGAACUUUAAUGUCAAAGGCAGGAAGCAAACUGAAUUUCAGCAGCCCAUACCAUCCACAAACUGACGGGCAGACGGAAAUAGUAAAUCGAUCUUUGGGUAAUCUCUUAAGAUGUUUAGCUGGAGAAAAACCAACACAAUGGGAUUUAAUUUUACCUCAAGCUGAAUUUGCUUAUAAUAGUUCCAUAAACCGAACCAUUGGAAAAUCUCAUUUUGAAGCUUUAUAUGGCCGUCCUAUAGCCCACUUUCUUGACCGAGCACCAUUACCUUACCCUGGUAGAGUUAGUGCAGAUGCCGACUAUUACCUAAAACAAAUUCAAGAGGUGCAACAACAAGUUCAUUAGAGGUUGCGGGAUUCCACUGUCAAGUACAAGGAGUCAGCGGAUAAACAUCGCCGAGGUAUGACUUUUAAUGAAGGAGAUAAUGUCUUGAUCUAUUUUAGGAAAGAAAGGUUCCCAGCUGGAGGCUAUAGCAAGUUGAACAGGAAAAAGUACGGACCAUUCAAAAUUCCGAAGAAGUUAGGGGAAAAUGCUUAUCUAAUUGAUCUACCUCCGGAAGUAUCGACGUCCCCGAUCUUCAAUGUCAGCGAGCUAUACGAGUACCAUGGAGAAGCCCUCUCUACUGUCGAUAUUGAUGGCUUGACAUCUCGCUCCGACAUUAAAACUCCAUCAGAUGGUGUGGAGGAUAUUUUGGAUGUGCGCGAGUCAGUGACGCGACGUGGUACUCAUCACCGAUACUUGGUGCGUUGGCGUGGACGACCAUUGUCCGAUAGCAGUGGGGUUUCUGAGGCGGAGUUGCGCCAACUUCGAGAGGACUUCUACAAGAGAUAUCAAGAUGCCAUCUCGACGGAGUCGAGAUUUCCCCAACUCGAGGGGAACUGAUGCAGCAAAUAAAUCUCGUUUUAUUUUCAAAUGCAAUUUUUUUUUAUUUUGUAGGUCCGUGUUUGAUUCGGACUUAAAUCAUUUGGUUUUAGUUGAUUUGGCUAACCCAAAUCCUUUUCUCCCAUAAACAAAAAACAAUCCCAAGAACUUUGGAAUUCCCCAAAAACAAAGACCUUUGAAAUUCCCAAAAUUGCUUCGUUUUCAAUGCAUGACUCUUGGGUGACCGUGUUGUUUUGAAAACGAAAAGACAAUAAUUUAUUAUAGGAGGGUUCUCAACACUAUAAAUACAUGGUUCUUGAGACCUUAAGGGAGAUAUUUUUGGAUGAAUAGAAAAUUCUACUCUCAAUCUUUAUCCUUGGCGUUCUACUUCCCGGUGAGAUCAUCGACGCUUCUUCCUCGCGCCGAGAUCGUCUUCUUCCUCAACUUGAUCGUUGUCGCUUCUUCCUCGUGACAAGAUCGGCUUCUACUUCUACCCCUCCUCUUCUUCCGAGUCACUACCUCAUUUUCUUCUUCCCCGUUGCCGAAGUUCUACCCGUGGUGUACCGCCCUCCUCGUCGAUCGUGGAUCCUUCGCAAUCGUGUGAACGGUGCACUUUUUGUAUCUCUUAUCUCCUGACCUCCUAUUAUCCCCCUUUAAUCUAGCCUUCCACUAUUAUUAACCAUAUUUGCCAAACAACCAAACCUAAAGUCUUAAGUCCGAUAAAGCCGAAUUUACCUUUUGAAACUAUUAUAUGUAUUUUCAGUUGGUUGUUAUUAUCUCAUAUAUUGAAGGUUUAUCAUCAUCUUAGUAUUACUUCAAUUCGAUUUUAAUUUUUGUUUUGCUGAAAUUUUUGCUUUCUUGCUUAAAGUUCAUCGGAAUUGAUAAAUUGAACCUAGUUUUACCUUUAAACAAAAGCAAACUUGAAAAUUCAAUUUUGGCAACCUCUCGGUUUGCAUCACAAAAUAUGCAAAGAUAAACAAUGCAUUUAAAUUUUGAAGUCAAAAUAUCGUUGAUCAACUUAAAUCAAAUAAAUUGAAAGGUUGGAUAGUAAAAUCAAAUUUUUGACAGGUUGGGUAGCUAGAUCCAAAUGAUGCAUAGUUUAAGUUUCAUACAGUUUUACCCUAUUUUUUAACAUAUGUACUAUGUAAGCUUUUCAGGGCAUUAAUAUUCAAUAGGUAGUUGGCCUCCAUAUCUUGAAAUGAACAAAUUCACUACCCUCUAUGCUACACUGUUUGUGCUUUUUGAGAAAUUAUAUUAUACACAGACAAUAGUUAAAAGCUUGUGGAGGCGAUCCUCUACUGUGGAAGCUAUGUAUUCUACCUUUCUCAUUGAGGAAUGACUUUUUUCAAGGUAGAAACAUACAGACCUGCACUAUGUAGUUCAUGCACCCAAUAGGAAAUGUGUCAUAAUGGACUACUGAAAUGAUCUAUUUUUGACAUUUUUGUUAACUCAAAUAAAUGGUCGAAAAUACUACUUGUUACUUAACACGUCUAAUAUCCAGACUCUUCACUUAAAC
rnacentral:lncRNA from 1 species